UGCAGGACCUCCAAUGCUGUAGGAACACAAU
rnacentral:piRNA from 1 species